rnacentral:rRNA from 1 species
UGAGGAAUAUUGGUCAAUGGACGAGAGUCUGAACCAGCCAAGUAGCGUGCAGGAUGACGGCCCUAUGGGUUGUAAACUGCUUUUAUACGGGGAUAAAGUUGGGACGUGUCCCUUUUGUAGGUACCGUAUGAAUAAGGACCGGCUAAUUCCGUGCCAGCAGCCGCGGUAAUACGGAAGGUCCGGGCGUUAUCCGGAUUAUUGGUUUAAAGGGAGCGUAGGCCGGAGAUUAAGCGUGUUGUGAAAUGUAGGAGCUCAACUUCUGCACUGCAGCGCGAACUGGUUUCCUUGAGUACGUAGGAAGUUGGCGGAAUUCGUGGUGUAGCGGUGAAAUGCUUAGAUAUCACGAAAGAACUCCGAUUGCGAAGGCAGCUGACUGUAUCGUAACUGACGCUGAAGCUCGAAAAGUGUGGGUAUCGAACAGGAUUAGAUACC